UCACAUGCACUGCCCACAGUAGCCACACAAAGCACAACUGCAUAAAAGACCCUCAAUUUACAUAAAAUCCUAUUAUUUCAUGUAAAUUGAGCGAUCAAGCGGCUCGUUCACGCAAACCGAGGACUUCCGAAGUCCGCAGAGACACGUACUGACAGGUCUCGACGUACCGGAGUCCGCGCUCACGAUCCGGAGCACAGCGGCUCGCUGUGGGAAGCGCGGGAGCAACCCGAAGGUUCAGCGAAUAGCGCGCAGUCAGGGAAGAUCGCGCCGAACAGAACUAACCGGACACUUCUGAUCCAAGGGAAGGUGAGCAUUGUGAUCAGCACUGACCAACGAUCACCGUGCUCACCUCCGGAGGCAUCAGGACAGCCUCGGAUCGCCGGAUAAGCGUGCUCAAGCCCAAAACAGCAGCCAAAAAGGCUGAAACGGAGCAACAUCGCCAAAACAGCGGAACGGAGUCUCCCCGACAGAAACUAAGGUGAGCACGAUGAUCGGCAACUAGCUACGAUCAUCGUGCUCCCUUCCGUACAGAUCGGGGAGGCUCAGGAAGCUCAGAAACAAAAACCC
rnacentral:lncRNA from 1 species